CACACACAUAAAACACACACUUACCGUGAGAAUCUUGUCUAAGUCACUUGAUUGCCAUAAAUUUCCACAAAGGGAAAUAUUUUUCAUGCCAUUACAGAGUGCUGGUACUACGAAUCUGUUCAUCGUAACAAGUCAUGGAGUUCAAAGUUUCGAUGGUUAUGCUGUUGUCUGUUGCUCUCUCAGUUUUACUCGUCAUCAAUGGUGCUUCUCUCACUAGUCAUCAGGAGCAAACUUCUCAUGAUUUAGCUCAAGAAAACUGGUUUGGUUAUGCUGCAAUGCCAAGAAAGUUGCUGCUCAAUCAAAAGGCAAGUUAAUUUAUAAACCCUUUGAUCACAUGCAAGUUUAUUCAACAAUUAACCAAAACUGAGACCUAAUGUCAGCUCAUGAAUGGGGUUUUUUUGUUAUUAAAUUGGGUUUAAAAUAUGGUUCUUUUGUGCAUUGAUCAGGUUGAAGGCAUUAAAGACAAGAAUUUGGUGCACAAUGAGGCUUUAUCAGGUGAAUCUCGCAAGGGAGGCGAAGAAGCAGCAGCUGCUGAAUCAGAACAGACAAUGCAUGAAGGAUCCGAUCUGACCCCUUUGUUUAGUAUGGAUUACACUAGCGUGAGAAAACGACGGCCCGUGCAUAACAAGUCUUUCCCUACGACCAUCACUCUUCCAUGAUAUGUGGAUUUACCUUUUUAGUUAAUUAAGUAGAAAUAUUCUUUUAGGACAUUUAGGAUGAAAAAAGAUGGAAAAUUUUGGCUAACAAUUUGUAAUGGUCUACACAAGGGAUCUAAAAACCCUAAGUUUUGUGUAAAUUUCGUAAACGACUCUACUUAUGUUUCUUUAUAAUAUUAAUACUAAAUUACA